AACGGGGCGAGCUCGCACAGUAAGGGUAGCAGAUGCUUCCACUUUUCCAACUCGAUUCUCAGCAAUGCACGUGUAGGUGCCUUCAUCUGUGCUCAUAGCCUUCUUGAUGCGCAAAGUGUAGUCAUCUUUAAUGUCAUACCUUCCUCUUGGCAGGUCUGCGUCAUCCUUCUUCCAGCGGACGGUCGGCUGCGGGUCCCCCUGCACCUGGCACCGGAAAUCCACGGCCUCCUCCUCCAGCACCACCUGGUUGAUUGGUCUCCUGAGAAACGUGGGCCGCUCAAAGACAGUCAGCUCUGCUGGAUCACUGUCUCGUUCCCCCACCAUGUUGGUUCCAACGCAAGUGUACAUGCC
rnacentral:lncRNA from 1 species